GGGGCUGACUGGUUUUGACAGCGGGUAGAAGAGGCAAGUAAGCAUGCCGGGUUUUGAUUGUUGACCCGUAAAAAAUAACAGUCACAAUUUUAAUUGGCGAAAAUAAUUACGCUCUUGCUGCGUAACCGAAUCACAGUAGGUUAACGCUUAAUUCCGACGCAAGGCGUCGGAACAAGACAUCGCCCGGGUGCCCUCGCUUCGAGGCUACCCGAACCGGCGGUGCAGAAAAAAUCGAAGCUAACCGGAACGGAGUCCCGACGUUCUGGUGAAAUUAAAGGGAAUAAGGUCUCGGUUGGUGGCCCUAAUCCUGCCGAAACCCGAAAAUUAAGUUAGGGCUAAGCAUGUAGAAAGCUUGUUGCUUCCUCGUUUGGACGCGGGUUCGACUCCCGCCAGCUCCACCU
rnacentral:tmRNA from 1 species